rnacentral:rRNA from 1 species
AGCAGCCGCGGUAAUUCCAGCUCCAAUAGCGUAUAUUAAAGUUGUUGCAGUUAAAAAGCUCGUAGUUGAAUUUCGGGGUUAGUAGAUUGGUCAUGCCUCUGGUAUGCACUGGUCUUACUGAUUCCUCCUUCCUGAUGAACCGUAAUGCCAUUAAUUUGGUGUUGCGGGGAAACUGGACUGUUACUUUGAAAAAUUGAGUGUUUAAAGCAGGCUAACGCUUGAAUACAUUAGCAUGGAAUAAUGAAAUAGGACGUUCGAUCUUAUUUUGUUGGUUUCUAGGAUUGACGUAAUGACUAAUAGGGAUAGUUGGGGGCAUUAGUAUUCAAUUGUCAGAGGUGAAAUUCUUGGAUUUAUUGAAGACUAACUACUGCGAAAGCAUUUGCCAAGGAUGUUUUCAUUAAUCAAGAACGAAAGUUAGGGGAUCGAAGACGAUCAGAUACCGUCGUAGUCUUAACCAUAAACUAUGCCGACUAGGGAUCGGAUGAUGUUAAUUUUUUAAUGUACUCAUUCGGCGCCUUAA